CCUUCAGGCAGAUGCUGCAAAAUGCGCUAAACUAACUGAAAUGUUUGGUGCUGCGGCAGCUGGAGCUGACUCAGCACGGCGCCGCCAGGUGAUGAUGGAGGAAUUAACCUGUAGGAGUCUAUGGGAGAGAGAGGUGGGAAGAUGGCAGCGCCCGGCAACAUGCGAUGCUUCCCUGAACUCUUAAUAGGCCCGGAUCACACCCCUGGGGUCCAUGAAUUGUCAUAUGCGAUACUGUGAAGGAAGACUGAGCUCUGCGUUGGAGAAAGCUGCCGGGCCCCAGUUAGUGAUCAUCUGCUGUCCCUUUGAACCUGCAGGGGGAAAACCACAGAGGUAGGAACAUUUAAAUGAAUGAAAACACAUUGUGAAGAGCAACAGUAGCCCUGUUGAGUUUUUCUUUUGAACUCCGCAGAGUUUUUUCCCUUCCUUUUGUCGAUUUUAUUUAUAUAUCCUUUUCAGUAUAUAUAAAUAAUUUUAUUUAUAUAUCCUUUUCAGGAUGUAUAAAUAAAACUCUGGCCGCCCGCCAGACUCUAAUCUGUCCCGCCAGGCAGAACGUCGUAUUUUUACAUGAUUCAUUAUAUAAAGUUAUUUGGUGUUGUGUUGUCAUUGCUCAGCAGAGUGUCUGUCACCUGUCAGUCAGUCAAAACCCUGACCCACCUCACCUUUAGCAAACAAUUAAAGUUUUUUAAUCACACUGAAUUGUGACUAACUGUUUUGAAUAACUUCCUGUCGCUAAACGCAUCAAGCUU